CAAGGUAUAGCUUAACACAAAGCAUCUGACCUACACUCAGAAGAUCUCAACAUCGCUUGAUGACCUUGA
rnacentral:tRNA from 1 species